rnacentral:sRNA from 1 species
GUCUGCACUUGUCGGGGAAGGGUGAGAACCUUCGACUAAGGUUCGAUUCGAGCGCAGCGAGAAAGCGUUGCCGCAGGCAACGACCCGAAGGGUGAGGAGCGCAGCGACGAAUAAUCCUUCCCCCACCACCA